AUGAACGCUGGCGGCGUGCCUAAUACAUGCAAGUCGAGCGAACAGACGAGGAGCUUGCUCCUCUGACGUUAGCGGCGGACGGGUGAGUAACACGUGGAUAACCUACCUAUAAGACUGGGAUAACUUCGGGAAACCGGAGCUAAUACCGGAUAAUAUAUUGAACCGCAUGGUUCAAUAGUGAAAGACGGUUUUGCUGUCACUUAUAGAUGGAUCCGCGCCGCAUUAGCUAGUUGGUAAGGUAACGGCUUACCAAGGCAACGAUGCGUAGCCGACCUGAGAGGGUGAUCGGCCACACUGGAACUGAGACACGGUCCAGACUCCUACGGGAGGCAGCAGUAGGGAAUCUUCCGCAAUGGGCGAAAGCCUGACGGAGCAACACCGCGUGAGUGAUGAAGGUCUUCGGAUCGUAAAACUCUGUUAUUAGGGAAGACCAAAUGUGUAAGUAACUAUGCACGUCUUGACGGUACCUAAUCAGAAAGCCACGGCUAACUACGUG
rnacentral:rRNA from 1 species